GAUGAACGCUGGCGGCGUGCCUAAUACAUGCAAGUCGAGCGAACAGACGAGGAGCUUGCUCCUCUGACGUUAGCGGCGGACGGGUGAGUAACACGUGGAUAACCUACCUAUAAGACUGGGAUAACUUCGGGAAACCGGACCUAAUACCGGAUAAUAUAUUGAACCGCAUGGUUCAAUAGUGAAAGACGGUUUUGCUGUCACUUAUAGAUGGAUCCGCGCCGCAUUAGCUAGUUGGUAAGGUAACGGCUUACCAAGGCAACGAUGCGUAGCCGACCUGAGAGGGUGAUGGGCCACACUGGAACUGAGACACGGUCCAGACUCCUACGGGAGGCAGCAGUAGGGAAUCUUCAGCAAUGGGCGAAAGCCUGACGGAGCAACGCCGCGUGAGUGAUGAAGGUCUUCGGAUCGUAAAAGUGUGUUAUUAGGGAAGAACAAAUGUGUAAGUAACUAUGCACGUCUUGACGGUACCUAGUCAGAAAGCCACGGCUAACUACGUG
rnacentral:rRNA from 1 species